rnacentral:rRNA from 1 species
UACGGGGGGGGCAAGCGUUGUUCGGAAUCACUGGGCGUAAAGCGACCGCAGGCGGCCUGACAAGUCGGAUGUGAAAGCCCUGGGCUCAACUCAGGAAUUGCAUUCGAAACUGGCAGGCUCGAGUACGGGAGAGGGGGGUGGAAUUCCUGGUGUAGGGGUGAAAUUCGUUGAUAUCAGGAGGAACACCGGCGGCGAAGGCGGCCCCCUGGCCCGCAACUGACGCUCAUGGUCGAAAGCGUGGGGAGCAAACAGG